AGUAGAAUGGAACACUCAUACUCUACAUUUACUCCGAUGGCCAGUUCCGGUCAACUCAGGCGCCGUUCGGUGACAAAUUAUGAGGUGUACAAAGUUCAUCAUGGGUAUAGGAUGAAACCAUCUAGAUCAUAUUUCUAUCACACAUAAAAGAUAAAACCGAGAAGAAAAUUUGAAGUGAUUUUAUCCUAUGUCCACGGUGGAUCUGAGGAUUCUGAUUCACCUAAAAAUUUAUUCUACUCAGCCCCC
rnacentral:lncRNA from 1 species